AGCAGUCGCCGCGGUAACACAGAGGGUGCGAGCGUUAAUCGGAUUUACUGGGCGUAAAGCGUGCGUAGGCGGCUUCUUAAGUCGGAUGUGAAAUCCCUGAGCUUAACUUAGGAAUUGCAUUCGAUACUGGGAAGCUAGAGUAUGGGAGAGGAUGGUAGAAUUCCAGGUGUAGCGGUGAAAUGCGUAGAGAUCUGGAGGAAUACCGAUGGCGAAGGCAGCCAUCUGGCCUAAUACUGACGCUGAGGUACGAAAGCAUGGGGAGCAAACAGGAUUAGAUACCCCAGUAGUCCCUGUCACUUAUAC
rnacentral:rRNA from 1 species